rnacentral:rRNA from 1 species
GACGAACGCUGGCGGCGUGCCUAAUACAUGCAAGUCGAGCGGAAGUUGGAGAGCUUGCUCUUCAACUUUAGCGGCGGACGGGUGAGUAACACGUGGGCAACCUGCCCUGCAGAUCGGGAUAACUCCGGGAAACCGGUGCUAAUACCGAAUAGUUUUCGCCACCUCCUGGUGGCGUACGGAAAGACGGUUUCGGCUGUCACUGCAGGAUGGGCCCGCGGCGCAUUAGCUAGUUGGUGGGGUAACGGCCCACCAAGGCGACGAUGCGUAGCCGACCUGAGAGGGUGGGCGGCCACGCUGGGACUGAGACACGGCCCAGACGCCUACGGGAGGCAGCAGUAGGGAAUCUUCCGCAAUGGACGAAAGUCUGACGGAGCAACGCCGCGUGAGUGACGAAGGUUUUCGGAUCGUAAAACUCUGUUGUGAGGGAAGAACAAGUACCAAUUAACUACUGGUACCUUGACGGUACCUCACCAGAAAGCCACGGCUAACUACGUGCCAGCCGCCGCGGUAAUAC